AUCAGAUGCUGCUGGGUGUUUAUCAGGAAUGGAAAGAUUGGAGAGAAUUAAAAUAAGCUGAUAUAACUCUUUGUCAUGAAGCAUUCCCAAAUAAAAGGAAAUCAGAAACAAGACAGAACAAAACAACACAGGAAUCAAGUGUCCUAUUCAUUGUGUCCCAGUACUUCUAUUACAUCGCUCCUAUUUUAAAUUGGAAUUAUCAAGAUAUAUCGAUACCACGAC
rnacentral:lncRNA from 1 species